UUUGAAUGUGUUCUGGCAUGAUGGAGGAUUGUGAACUCGGUCAGUGACGAUGAUGAACGAGUGUGUGAAUUGUGAACAUGAAAGUCCUGGUACGAGGUCAUCAGAGGAAGGCGUACAACAGAGGAGAGUAUUGCCAAGACAGCCAGGUUCAGCCCAAAGCAACAGCAGUGUUUAUAUUCCCUCCACACUUGGAGUUUCUGAAGGCCUCCCUGAAGCCCUGUUCUCAUCCGAGAUGACAGAAGCUAUAUUUAGCAAUGGAACGGACCAGUGGGUCUGUCCCAAUGACAGACAGCUUGCUCUCAGAGCCAAGCUGCAGACGGGUUGGUCAGUUCACACGUUCCGCACAGACAAGCAGCGCAAGAGCCAGGCCCUGAGCGAAGGCGAGAUGGAAGUCAUCCUCGGCGUCAUCCGCCGGGCUGAGCUGCUGGAGCAGGCGGAGCAGCGCAGGAUCGGGAGGCUUGUGGAGCGCCUGGAGAACAUGAGGAAGAGUGCGAUGGGGAACGGCCUGUCCCAGUGCCUGCUGUGUGGGGAGCUGCUGGGGCUGCUGGGCACCUCCUCUGUCUUCUGCCAGGACUGCCGCAAGAAAGUGUGCACAAAGUGUGGGAUAGAAACUCUGUGCAGUCAGAAGAGAUCGCUGUGGCUGUGCAAGAUCUGCAGUGAGCAGAGAGAGGUGUGGAAGCGUUCGGGGGCCUGGUUCUACAAAGCCCUGCCCAAGUUUGUGCGUCCGGUGAAGGAAGCAAGCAGGGCACUGGAAACGAACCCGCCAGUGACCGAACGGGGUGUGCUGCAGCUGAGCAGGAGCGUGCCGGCGGGCCGCACCUACAGCUGGGCGCGUAGCAAAGUGGUUUCCAGCGACAGUGACAGCGACUCUGAGCGGAGCUCCUCCAGCCUGGAGGACAAGGCCUCCACCAGCUCCAAGAGCACCCAGAGUGGCAGGCAGCCUGACGACCCAGUGUCCAGUGGAGGUGUGACCGCAACACCCACUAGCUUGACCGGCAAGUUGCUGGGCAGCCUCCUUUCCAGCCACACCCUCUCUGAGAGCCGCUCCAGCCUGGCGAGUGACCGCAGUGGGAUCCUGGGAAGCACAGACACUGGCCAAAGAGACACCUGUCCUGAAGACUAUGACACGGACUACAGCAGGCCCUCUCUGACAAUCAUUUGGGCUUGCUCUCUGACGUUCACCCUCUGACACCCUCUGAAGAUGCUGAUAGAUCUUCAAAAGAACAGAAUUUUUAGGAAUAAAAUAUUUUUUGACAGAAGAGUCUGGAUUCCACCAGGCUAGGUUCUGGCACCUUAUUUUCACCUGAGUUGAACUGCCUGCUUACUUUCCUCUGUCUUCCACACUGUACAUUUACAGUACAGUCAUAGUAAUGCUCAAAGACUGCUCAGCAUCGAAGUCUCUCUUAUACUUGAACAUGUUGACAAGUGGUCUUGUUACAUUAGUAAUGCCAAAGUGAUGGAAUUCAAAAUUCGACAUUUCUGAUUCAGUGCACCUUUACUUCCAUGAAUUCCCUGGGUGAAACAGCAGUGUUCGUUCUAUACUAAAAGUUAAAAAUGCUCAUUUCCUUUCAAGCAGUGCAAAGUCAUCUACCAGAUUCAGAUUGCAUGAACAGGAGAACUGGAAUCUCUUCCCCCAGAAACGAGACUUUGGUUGAAAGCAGUGCCCUUUCUGAAUCUAAAGAUGGGAUAAAACACAGAUUAAAGAAACUAAUCAUUUCUAGUCAGUGGCGUAAAGGUAUGAUUUCUGCCUGCACCCAUAAAACUGAAAAGACAAUGCUGCAAGGUGACAAGUAACAAAAGCAUGAUUCCCUAAUGCAUUAAUUAUGCAGUUUUUAAAAACUUUAUUCUACGGAGUAGUGGUGGGACAUACAGUAGAAUCUUGUAGUGUUUAUUCCAGCUGAAUUCAUUAUUACAGAAAAGAGACAAUUAUUUUGUGAAGUGAACCAGCUAAGCAUUGUUUUAAGGGUUUCUUCAGAUGGAUUUGUUUUUUAAAAAAGUUGGAACGGCCAAUUAUUUUCCACCUGUCUGGUUUGCUAUCACCCAUUGUAUAAGGCUUAGCUUUACAGCUGAACCUCCUAGUCCUCAUGGGGAGAAUGAGAUCCCAUGGACGUGCUGCUCUGACACACCCACAUUUCAUUUGACCCCCUGCAAGUGCCUUAAGGAGAAGUCGCUAGCACCUGGAGGAACAGCACAUCUCUUACUAACUGCUCAGCAAGCUGGCAGGUGCCAGGUACAGUAGGUUCCAGCAGUUUUCUGUCUCACCACAAGCCAGGAGGAAGUCUGGCUGACUAAAUCUCGUCCAGUCCUGGAGCAACCUAGCUGAUCAAGCCACACUUAGCAGAGUGGGCUGCUCUGAUCUGGCAAUCAUUUCAAGACAAGGGUAUUCUGACCACAUCAAGUCUUUGCAAACCUGAUGUGAACUUGAUUGCAAACUAGGCCGGUGGGAUUUGAAUCUCUUGAUUUUCAACAGCAAAUCAGGGAUGUGGGACAAACCAGAUAUCUGCAUGUUUGCUGUGAUGUUAGUGAGUGGUAUACCACUCCUUCAGUCACUGGUUGGUCUUCUAUAAGGCACUGUAAAGCUUGCAGUGAUGCAAGAUGGGCAAAAUGAAAGGCAAGGCUUAGGCUUGGACCUGUGAUAUCUGGACUGCUGGGCCUAGCCUACACUCUGAAAGAUUACCUUCACUGGUUGAGCCAUUUGGGAACCCAAAUGAAAAUGUAAAAUCCAACCAAGAAGACAUUUGUCCUGUUGCAGUAGUGCUCUAUCAGAGACUUAGCUGCUGGCCAAGUUGUGUUAUUCCAGUGGUACUGAAUGACCACUAAUACUAUGUUUGAGCCUAUGUCAGAACUUGGCUCUCAUUGAUCACCAGUCCUCUUCCUUUACUUUCUGGGAUAGAGGAGACGCCGAAAUUCCAAAUAUAAACAGUAAGAAAAGAGAGGUGUUUUGGAAAUCUAAAAAUUAACAACUUAAUCUUAAAUAAAUGUGUUGCUUUUUAGUUUGCUUUAAUUCUGUGCAGUAGCUGAACUAUCUUUGUGCUUUUUUAGAAAUGUAUAUCUCGAAUGUUCCUGUACUGCAUUAUAUUUCAAGCCUGCAUCUUUUGAAAGUCAGCGUGACACACUGUUUGCAUUUUGUUUUCCAACUGUUUCAAUGCUCACUCUCCUCCAGAUCAUUCCAUUAAUCAAACAUCUAUCAAAGUGCAAUUUGAAAAGCCUCAGGCUGUGUGGGAUGAAUUGCUUUAUGUGCCCAGUACAAAAGGCAGCAUUAAACAAAGGUAUCUAAAGGCAUGGUGUGCAAAAACAGUAGCCUGGCCUUGCACUCCUGUACAGAACAAUAAAGCAGUUGGAUUGUUAAUGUCCCACGUUUCUGCAUUUAUUCUCUCAGAGGCUCAACGUGUUUCCUGGAAACUCGACAGUCCUCUACCACAUCUAUUGAUCAAGGAUUUCAAAACAAUAUACAAGCUUUGAAGGCGGAAUGGACAUUUUUUUUUGCUGCAAAGUAAAACUUCUAGAACUAUUUUGCACUUGUUCUCAAGGAUUUCAAGAUCUUCAGAACCAGUAACAGAUAAAACAGAAGAACUGGAACACAAGAAGCUAGGUCCAGUUACCCCAGCAUAUCAUUUCCAACACUCUGCAUGUUGUCUGAUGCACUAGAGUUUGAUACUAUUGGUGAAACAUUAUGCAGCAUGGGAUCAACUCUCUAUAAAAAUGAAAAAGUAAAAUCAGCCUUUUCUCUCUUGUACCUGUCCCUUUGAGAUACGUGCUA